GACAGAGGGUGCAAACGUUGUUCGGAAUUACUGGGCGUAAAGCGCGUGUAGGCUGCUCGGAAAGUCGGAUGUGAAAGCCCUGGGCUCAACCUAGGAAGUGCAUUCGAAACUUCUGAGCUGGAGUGCUGGAGAGGAAGGCGGAAUUCUCGGUGUAGAGGUGAAAUUCGUAGAUAUCGAGAGGAACACCGGUGGCGAAGGCGGCAUCCUGGACCGGCAUUGACGCUGAGGCGCGAAAGCCAGGGGAGCAAACGGG
rnacentral:rRNA from 1 species